UUAAGCGACUAAGCGUACACGGUGGAUGCCCUGGCAGUCAGAGGCGAUGAAGGGCGUGCUAAUCUGCGAUAAGCGCCGGUAAGGUGAUAUGAACCGUUAUAACCGGCGAUACCCGAAUGGGGAAACCCAGUGUGAUUCGUCACACUAUCAUUAACUGAAUCCAUAGGUUAAUGAGGCGAACCGGGGGAACUGAAACAUCUAAGUACCCCGAGGAAAAGAAAUCAACCGAGAUUCCCCCAGUAGCGGCGAGCGAACGGGGAGGAGCCCAGAGCCUGAAUCAGCAUGUGUGUUAGUGGAAGCGUCUGGAAAGGUGCGCGAUACAGGGUGACAGCCCCGUACACAAAAGCGCAUGUGCUGUGAGCUCGAUGAGUAGGGCGGGACACGUGGUAUCCUGUCUGAAUAUGGGGGGACCAUCCUCCAAGGCUAAAUACUCCUGACUGACCGAUAGUGAACCAGUACCGUGAGGGAAAGGCGAAAAGAACCCCGGCGAGGGGAGUGAAAAAGAACCUGAAACCGUGUACGUACAAGCAGUGGGAGCACAGGUUUACCUGUGUGACUGCGUACCUUUUGUAUAAUGGGUCAGCGACUUAUAUUCUGUAGCAAGGUUAACCGAAUAGGGGAGCCGUAGGGAAACCGAGUCUUAACCGGGCGUUAAGUUGCAGGGUAUAGACCCGAAACCCGGUGAUCUAGCCAUGGGCAGGUUGAAGGUUGGGUAACACUAACUGGAGGACCGAACCGACUAAUGUUGAAAAAUUAGCGGAUGACCUGUGGCUGGGGGUGAAAGGCCAAUCAAACCGGGAGAUAGCUGGUUCUCCCCGAAAGCUAUUUAGGUAGCGCCUCGUGAAUUCAUCUCCGGGGGUAGAGCACUGUUUCGGCUAGGGGGCCAUCCCGGCUUACCAACCCGAUGCAAACUGCGAAUACCGGAGAAUGUUAUCACGGGAGACACACGGCGGGUGCUAACGUCCGUCGUGAAGAGGGAAACAACCCAGACCGCCAGCUAAGGUCCCAAAGUCAUGGUUAAGUGGGAAACGAUGUGGGAAGGCCCAGACAGCCAGGAUGUUGGCUUAGAAGCAGCCAUCAUUUAAAGAAAGCGUAAUAGCUCACUGGUCGAGUCGGCCUGCGCGGAAGAUGUAACGGGGCUAAACCAUGCACCGAAGCUGCGGCAGCGAACGUAUCACCCAAGACAACUUUACGGAGUUGACGAUUGACGGAGCGAAGCGACGUCAAAGCGUUCAUUAAAGUCGAGUUGGCUUAGGGAUACGUUCGUUGGGUAGGGGAGCGUUCUGUAAGCCUGUGAAGGUGUGUCGUGAGGCAUGCUGGAGGUAUCAGAAGUGCGAAUGCUGACAUAAGUAACGAUAAAGCGGGUGAAAAGCCCGCUCGCCGGAAGACCAAGGGUUCCUGUCCAACGUUAAUCGGGGCAGGGUGAGUCGACCCCUAAGGCGAGGCCGAAAGGCGUAGUCGAUGGGAAACGGGUUAAUAUUCCCGUACUUGGUGUUACUGCGAAGGGGGGACGGAGAAGGCUAUGUUGGCCGGGCGACGGUUGUCCCGGUUUAAGCGUGUAGGUGUGUGUUCCAGGUAAAUCCGGUUCACUUUAACACUGAGGCGUGACGACGAGGCACUACGGUGCUGAAGCAACAAAUGCCCUGCUUCCAGGAAAAGCCUCUAAGCAUCAGGUAACACGAAAUCGUACCCCAAACCGACACAGGUGGUCAGGUAGAGAAUACCAAGGCGCUUGAGAGAACUCGGGUGAAGGAACUAGGCAAAAUGGUGCCGUAACUUCGGGAGAAGGCACGCUGACACGUAGGUGAAGUGAUUUACUCAUGGAGCUGAAGUCAGUCGAAGAUACCAGCUGGCUGCAACUGUUUAUUAAAAACACAGCACUGUGCAAACACGAAAGUGGACGUAUACGGUGUGACGCCUGCCCGGUGCCGGAAGGUUAAUUGAUGGGGUCAGCGUAAGCGAAGCUCCUGAUCGAAGCCCCGGUAAACGGCGGCCGUAACUAUAACGGUCCUAAGGUAGCGAAAUUCCUUGUCGGGUAAGUUCCGACCUGCACGAAUGGCGUAAUGAUGGCCAGGCUGUCUCCACCCGAGACUCAGUGAAAUUGAACUCGCUGUGAAGAUGCAGUGUACCCGCGGCAAGACGGAAAGACCCCGUGAACCUUUACUAUAGCUUGACACUGAACAUUGAGCCUUGAUGUGUAGGAUAGGUGGGAGGCUUUGAAGUGUGGACGCCAGUCUGCAUGGAGCCGACCUUGAAAUACCACCCUUUAAUGUUUGAUGUUCUAACGUGGACCCGUAAUCCGGGUUGCGGACAGUGUCUGGUGGGUAGUUUGACUGGGGCGGUCUCCUCCUAAAGAGUAACGGAGGAGCACGAAGGUUGGCUAAUCCUGGUCGGACAUCAGGAGGUUAGUGCAAUGGCAUAAGCCAGCUUGACUGCGAGCGUGACGGCGCGAGCAGGUGCGAAAGCAGGUCAUAGUGAUCCGGUGGUUCUGAAUGGAAGGGCCAUCGCUCAACGGAUAAAAGGUACUCCGGGGAUAACAGGCUGAUACCGCCCAAGAGUUCAUAUCGACGGCGGUGUUUGGCACCUCGAUGUCGGCUCAUCACAUCCUGGGGCUGAAGUAGGUCCCAAGGGUAUGGCUGUUCGCCAUUUAAAGUGGUACGCGAGCUGGGUUUAGAACGUCGUGAGACAGUUCGGUCCCUAUCUGCCGUGGGCGCUGGAGAACUGAGGGGGGCUGCUCCUAGUACGAGAGGACCGGAGUGGACGCAUCACUGGUGUUCGGGUUGUCAUGCCAAUGGCACUGCCCGGUAGCUAAAUGCGGAAGAGAUAAGUGCUGAAAGCAUCUAAGCACGAAACUUGCCCCGAGAUGAGUUCUCCCUGAGACUUAGAGUCUCCUGAAGGAACGUUGAAGACGACGACGUUGAUAGGCCGGGUGUGUAAGCGCAGCGAUGCGUUGAGCUAACCGGUACUAAUGAACCGUGAGGCUUAACCU
rnacentral:rRNA from 1 species